UGGGGAAUAUUGCACAAUGGGCGCAAGCCUGAUGCAGCCAUGCCGCGUGUAUGAAGAAGGCCUUCGGGUUGUAAAGUACUUUCAGUCGUGAGGAAGGCGGCGUCGUUAAUAGCGGCGUUGUUUGACGUUAGCGACAGAAGAAGCACCGGCUAACUCCGUGCCAGCAGCCGCGGUAAUACGGAGGGUGCGAGCGUUAAUCGGAAUUACUGGGCGUAAAGCGCAUGCAGGUGGUUUGUUAAGUCAGAUGUGAAAGCCCGGGGCUCAACCUCGGAAUAGCAUUUGAAACUGGCAGACUAGAGUACUGUAGAGGGGGGUAGAAUUUCAGGUGUAGCGGUGAAAUGCGUAGAGAUCUGAAGGAAUACCGGUGGCGAAGGCGGCCCCCUGGACAGAUACUGACACUCAGAUGCGAAAGCGUGGGGAGCAAACAGGAUUAGAUACCCUGGUAGUCCACGCCGUAAACGAUGUCUACUUGGAGGUUGUGGCCUUGAGCCGUGGCUUUCGGAGCUAACGCGUUAAGUAGACCGCCUGGGGAGUACGGUCGCAAGAUUAAAACUCAAAUGAAUUUGACGGGGGCCCGCACAAGCGGUGGAGCAUGUGGGUUUAAUUCGAUGCAACGCGAAGAACCUUACCUACUCUUGACAUCCAGAGAACUUUCCAGAGAUGGAUUGGUGCCUUCGGGAACUCUGAGACAGGUGCUGCAUGGCUGUCGUCAGCUCGUGUUGUGAAAUGUUGGGUUAAGUCCCGCAACGAGCGCAACCCUUAUCCUUGUUUGCCAGCGAGUAAUGUCGGGAACUCCAGGGAGACUGCCGGUGAUAAACCGGAGGAAGGUGGGGACGACGUCAAGUCAUCAUGGCCCUUACGAGUAGGGCUACACACGUGCUACAAUGGCGCAUACAGAGGGCGGCCAACUUGCGAAAGUGAGCGAAUCCCAAAAAGUGCGUCGUAGUCCGGAUUGGAGUCUGCAACUCGACUCCAUGAAGUCGGAAUCGCUAGUAAUCGUGGAUCAGAAUGCCACGGUGAAUACGUUCCCGGGCCUUGUACACACCGCCCGUCACACCAUGGGAGUGGGCUGCAAAAGAAGUAGGUAGUUUAACCUUCGGGGGGACG
rnacentral:rRNA from 1 species